rnacentral:rRNA from 1 species
ACAUGCAGUCGAGCGGACCAGGAGCUGCUCCUGGGUGACGAGCGGCGGACGGGUGAGUAAUAGUCUAGGGAAACUAGCCUGAUGGAGGGGGAUAACUACUAGGAAACGGUAGCUAAUACCGCAUAACGUCUAUCGGACCAAAGUGGGGGACCUAUCGGGCCUCAUAGCCAUCAGAUGUGCCCAGAUGGGAUAUAGCUAGUAGGUGGGGUAACGGCUCACCUAGGCGACGAUCCCUAGCUAGGUCUGAGAGGAUAGACCAGCCACACUGGAACUAGAGACACGGUCCAGACUCCUACGGGAGGCAGCAGUGGGGAAUAUAGCACAAUGGGCGCAAGCCUUAGAUAGCAGCCAUAGCCGCGUGUAUAGAAGAAGGCCUAUCGGGGUANGUAAAAGUAACUUUCAGCGGAGGAGGGAAGGGCGAUAAAGGUUAAUAACCUAUGGUCGAUUGAACGUAAACUCGCAGAAAAAAAGCACCCGGGCUAAAC